rnacentral:rRNA from 1 species
UACGGGGGGGGCAAGCGUUGUUCGGAAUUACUGGGCGUAAAGGGCUCGUAGGUGGCCAACUAAGUCAGACGUGAAAUCCCUCGGCUUAACCGGGGAACUGCGUCUGAUACUGGAUGGCUAGAGUUUGGGAGAGGGAUGCGGAAUUCCAGGUGUAGCGGUGAAAUGCGUAGAUAUCUGGAGGAACACCGGUGGCGAAGGCGGCAUCCUGGACCAAUAUUGACGCUGAGGAGCGAAAGCCAGGGGAGCAAACGGG